rnacentral:lncRNA from 1 species
UCUCUCUCUGCGGAAGCCAGCCACCGCUCUCCAAGGACUCUCGAGCAGCUCCAUCUACAGAUUCACAUGGAGAAGAAUUAAGGGUUCCUGCCAAUCACCAGCACCACUUUGCCAGCCUUGUAAGUGGGCCACCUUGGAAUUGGAGCCUCCAGUUCCUACUGACAUCUGACUGCAACAUCAUGAGAGACCCUGAGUUUGAACCACCCAGCUGAGCUGCUUCUGAGCUAACCCACUGAAACCGUGAAAGUACCUGAAUGAAACAACACCCAGUAGCCACUAGCACACCUAGCUCCCAGAUCUGUUUUUGAUGCCAUUCUUCAGUAAAAGGAAGCAAGGCUGCUUGGAGAAAUUGCUAUCAAGGACUGGGGUAGAAAAUAUACAAGAUGAAAUUGGAGCAUCUUGUAGUGCUUGAAAACAGUUGGCAUCUGUGUGAAGAUGUGAAUGGAGGAGGCAGAGUAGGCAGUGAGUGCCGCAGCCACAGCUUGUGUUCUCUGCAGCCCUGGCACAGAAGAUAGGAACACUCAUGGGGGAUGCGGCCACUGUGAUGUCUUCCCACACAAGAAGUGCCAAGUGCUUUUCUCAUGCUUUUCUGGAUUGUCCCAUGGUGGACGAGUCAGCAGGAGUGAGAUGGAGCAGCACAGUAGAGGGGUGUGCCACCUCUUUGAUCCAGCAAGUGGGAAGAACAGUCCCGGCCUCUUUGCACACAAGACCGUGAUACCAAUGCACCAUCACAGGCCCCACAGGGGAGCUGUCCGCUUCCCCACACAGCUGCUAGGGGCUCUUUUGCAUGUUCCCAACCUUUCCUGCCUUUAUCUGAUAUUCGUUCCUUAGAUCCUGGGAUGAGGAGGUGGACCAGCAGAAGGUGGGCUUGUGAAGGCAGCCCGGGGUCCAAAUCCUCCUGGCUCUUCAGCUUAGCGGGAUGUCACCUUCAGCGUCUGAAAGCUGGGUUUGAUGCGUCUGGAAAGGCGUCCCUGACAGGCGUCGUUGCCAGGAGCCCCUAGUGCCACCAGCAGCCAGCAGGGGAGGGCGUCCUCUGCCCGCUCACUUCUGACCCUUCUCUCGUUGCACCCGGAACAUGGUGCAGCUGGGAGCAGCCUGGGCUGCGCGGAAGGCUCAGAUUUGGGGACGGCCCUUGCCAGUGACUGUGAGCUGGGGUGUCUUGGAAACUCCCAGUCUCAGCUUCUCCAUUUAUAAGAUGAGAAUGAUCAUACCAGACUCAGGCAAGGUUGUUUGUGCAUUAGUGAAAUCAGACGUAUUAAAUAAAGUACCACAUUGAUCGUGGAGUUGUUGAAUAACCAAGAA